AUCUUCCAGUAUUAAAGUCGUUUAAUAGUUGUAAGAUACCUUUUCUGUGACAACUGGCUUUUUAAUAUCAUUGCCUCAUGCCAUCAACGACAGUUUCCGAAGGCAGUCGACAAGUUCCGUCACAACUUCACAACUCUUACAGUUUUAGCUAUGGUUUUAGCUUUACAUUGUGGCUAGCCCGCGAACGGGCUAGCCACAAAAACGUGUGCGGAAAAUUUUUCUUCUUUUAUAGUGGUUUUUCUGAUAUUCACUGAUUCCUGGAUUUGUCACUGAUAAUUCACGAAGUUGUCAAAGAAAAGGACAUAUCAGAAAAACCAUUGAAGAAGAGAAAAUUUCCGCACACGCUUUUUAACCGUACCUAUGAAGAUUCAAAUCGAGAUAUGUAGACAAACGUUGAGGUAAACUAUAAACAGAUUUUGAUUUUUUUAUGGGAUACCUUUAUAUUUCUUUAGUCAGCCAAUACUGGACAGGUUUAACAGAACACUCAUCAAAUGAAGAUUUUCGAAAUCAGCAUUUGCUCGGCUUUCUUCACUAAAAAUUUACUAAAGUUGCCUAAAAUUCGUUGCGCCAUGUUCAAUUGACUAAAACGCACGUUCAUCAUGUGAAGUAAGCUUAAUUAAGUCUAUUUUGACACUAUUCCAUUUAGUUUGAUAUACUUUUCUCACUUAUUUUCUUGUAAAUAGCACAUAGUUUUUAAUAUAGCACAUAUGUAAAGAUUUAGCAACUGCCUGUACGUAAGGUCAUGCGAAUAAAGCAAAUAAAUUCAAUAUACAAACACAGAUCUGUUUUGGACUAUGCUACAGAGCCCGAAAUAACGCGUGUUUAAUUAAUAAAGAAUGUCUGUCCAAAAUGAAACUUGAUGUCUUGAUCCGAAACUUUAAAAUCUCGUCGCAAUUUUAUCGAUUUCAUUUUGACUCCCGGCGUCCCUAAAUGUCCCUUGGGUAAGUCGCGUCGAUAAAUAAUACUUUAUGCCAAACAUUAUACAGUAUAGUUAACAUGCUUUAAAUUUUAUUUUACAAUUAUAUUCUUUGCGGGGAGCAUGUUUGUGGUUAACCCAUUCUUUCGAGGAAGGUGAUUACUAUUUUCGUCCGGAUAAAAUGUCCGACCAAUUCAGCAUUUGAUCAGAAAAACUGUAAUUGGCAAUGUUCAGAAAAUGUCCAAAGUCCGACCGUUAUUUUAGGCAUUGUGCUGUGCCGGGACUAGCUAACAGUCGUGGGUCGUGGGUCGUGGGUAGAAUGUCGUGGGUCGUGGGUAAAAAGGCGUGGGUCGUGGGUAAAAAGGCGUGGGUCGUGG
rnacentral:lncRNA from 1 species